rnacentral:rRNA from 1 species
CUACGGGGGGCUCCAGGCGCGAAAACUUCACACUGUGCGAAAGCACGAUGAGGGGAUCCCAAGUGCUGGCUCGUAAGAGUCAGCUGUUUCUCUAUCUAAAAAAUAGAGAGAGUAAGGGCUGGGUAAGACGGGUGCCAGCCGCCGCGGUAAUACCUGCAGCCCGAGUGGUGGCCGCUAUUAUUGGGCCUAAAACGUUCGUAGCCGGUUUAGUAAAUGCCUGGGUAAAUUGUGUAGCUUAACUAUACGAAUUCCGGGUAGACUGUUAAACUUGAGACCGGGAGAGGCUAGAGGUACUCCUGGGGUAGAGGUGAAAUUCUGUAAUCCUAGGGGGACCACCAGUGGCGAAGGCGUCUAGCUAGAACGGGUCUGACGGUGAGGAACGAAGCCCUGGGGCGCAAACCGGAUUAGAUACCCUCGUAGUC